GUGAAUGAUGAGGCCAUUAGUUGUGUUUAUCAUGAUAGAAAUAUAUUUUUAUGAAACAUCCCUAACGCUGUGUGUAUGAUGUUGUUGCAGGAGACCAGAGAGCAGAGGAUCACCCAGUACCAUGAAGAACCUGAUACUCCUUGUGUCCUGGGUCUGAGGGAGGGAUCCCUGCUGCUGGUGGAGGGCGACAAAGCCACACUACUGGGAACCACCAAGGCCAGACUCUUCACCCGGGGGAAGCCCACAGUGGAGUACGACCCAGGUAGUGACCUCAGCUUCCUGCUCACACGUUGACCAAUCAGAGGGAAACAGGAAACAAGUGCCAGUGUCUCACCCUUUCACAAUAUUGUUGUGGAUGAAUGUUGUGGUUGAAACACAAUAAAUAUUAAAAGUCCA